GGGUUAGGCCACCGGCUUCAGGUGUUACCGACUUUCAUGACUUGACGGGCGGUGUGUACAAGACCCGGGAACGUAUUCACCGCAGCGUUGCUGAUCUGCGAUUACUAGCGACUCCGACUUCAUGAGGUCGAGUUGCAGACCUCAAUCCGAACUGGGACCGGCUUUUUGGGAUUCGCUCCACCUCGCGGUAUCGCAGCCCAUUGUACCGGCCAUUGUAGCAUGCGUGAAGCCCAAGACAUAAGGGGCAUGAUGAUUUGACGUCAUCCCCACCUUCCUCCGAGUUGACCCCGGCAGUAUCCCAUGAGUUCCCACCAUAACGUGCUGGCAACAUAGAACGAGGGUUGCGCUCGUUGCGGGACUUAACCCAACAUCUCACGACACGAGCUGACGACAACCAUGCACCACCUGUUCACCAGUGUCCAAAGAGUUGACCAUUUCUGGCCCGUUCUGGUGUAUGUCAAGCCUUGGUAAGGUUCUUCGCGUUGCAUCGAAUUAAUCCGCAUGCUCCGCCGCUUGUGCGGGUCCCCGUCAAUUCCUUUGAGUUUUAGCCUUGCGGCCGUACUCCCCAGGCGGGGAACUUAAUGCGUUAGCUACGUCACGGAAUCCGUGGAAAGGACCCCACAACUAGUUCCCAACGUUUACGGGGUGGACUACCAGGGUAUCUAAGCCUGUUUGCUCCCCACCCUUUCGCUCCUCAGCGUCAGUAACGGCCCAGAGAUCUGCCUUCGCCAUCGGUGUUCCUCCUGAUAUCUGCGCAUUCCACCGCUACACCAGGAAUUCCAAUCUCCCCUACCGCACUCUAGUCUGCCCGUACCCACUGCAAGCCCGAGGUUGAGCCUCGGAAUUUCACAGCA
rnacentral:rRNA from 1 species